rnacentral:rRNA from 1 species
UACGUAGGGUGCAAGCGUUAAUCGGAAUUACUGGGCGUAAAGCGUGCGCAGGCGGUUUUAUUAGGCAGAUGUGAAAUCCCCGGGCUCAACCUGGGAACUGCAUUUGUGACUGUAGAGCUGGAGUACGGCAGAGGGGGAUGGAAUUCCGCGUGUAGCAGUGAAAUGCGUAGAUAUGCGGAGGAACACCGAUGGCGAAGGCAAUCCCCUGGGCCUGUACUGACGCUCGUGCACGAAAGCGUGGGGAGCAAACAGG